AGGACGAACGCUGGCGGCGUGCUUAACACAUGCAAGUCGAACGGGGUGUGCCGGGUAGUAAUACCUUGUACAUCUAGUGGCGAACGGGUGCGUAACACGUGAGUAACCUACCCCGAAGUCUGGAAUAACACCGGGAAACCGAUGCUAAUACCAGAUGCCCUCCUCUGAUCGCAUGGGUUGGGGAGGAAAGGGGAAACCCGCCGAAGGAGGGGCUCGCGGCCCAUUAAUGGCGCACCAAGGCGACGAUGGGUAGCCGGCCUGAGAGGGUGAACGGCCACACUGGGACUGAGACACGGCCCAGACUCCUACGGGAGGCAGC
rnacentral:rRNA from 1 species